UGGGGAAUAUUGGACAAUGGGGGCAACCCUGAUCCAGCCAUGCCGCGUGUGUGAAGAAGGCCUUCGGGUUGUAAAGCACUUUAAGCGGGGAGGAAGGCCUGAUGGCUAAUAUCCAUCGGGAUUGACGUUACCCGCAGAAUAAGCACCGGCAAACUUCGUGCCAGCAGCCGCGGUAAUACGAAGGGUGCGAGCGUUAAUCGGAAUUACUGGGCGUAAAGCGCGCGUAGGUGGUUGAGUAAGCGACAUGUGAAAUCCCCGGGCUUAACCUGGGAACUGCCUGUCGAACUGCUUGGCUAGAGUAUGGUAGAGGGGUGUGGAAUUUCCUGUGUAGCGGUGAAAUGCGUAGAUAUAGGAAGGAACAUCAGUGGCGAAGGCGACACCCUGGACCGAUACUGACACUGAGGCGCGAAAGCGUGGGUAGCGAACAGG
rnacentral:rRNA from 1 species